rnacentral:rRNA from 1 species
UACGGAGGGUGCGAGCGUUGUCCGGAAUCACUGGGCGUAAAGGGCGCGUAGGCGGCUUCUCAAGCGUGUGGUGAAAGUCCGGGGCUCAACCCCGGAUCGGCCGUGCGGGCUGGGGAGCUCGAGUUCUGUAGAGGCGGGUGGAAUUCCGGGUGUAGCGGUGGAAUGCGUAGAGAUCCGGAAGAACACCGGUGGCGAAGGCGGUUCUCUGGGCCUUACCUGACGCUGAGGAGCGAAAGCGUGGGGAGCGAACAGG